rnacentral:tRNA from 1 species
AAGAUUUUAUGAUAAUUAAUCAUUUAACCUUCAAAGUUAAAAAUAUAAAAUAAUAGUUUUAUAAAUCUUA